AAAGGGAAAGGUAGACCAAAAUCUCUCUGUUUAAGGAAAAAGACUAUACAACGCCCCCUUUGGGGAUCCAUCAAACCAGGAGGGGGAGGGUUCGGAAGAACUAUCCUUUCAUUUUGAAAAGGAGCUCGAAUAAGAUAAAGUGGAGUAUCUAAAUACCUCCGAGAAAUGUGUUUAGUUAUGGUAGAGGAAGUAAUAUGCGACCUAAGAUUAGCAACGUCGGGGAGCUUUGGACCCUCCAUGGAAGAACAAAGAAGCGUACCUGAAAACGCAAUAGGGUGGAAAAAGCAG
rnacentral:lncRNA from 1 species